CCUACGGGAGGCAGCAGUGAGGAAUAUUGGUCAAUGGACGCAAGUCUGAACCAGCCAUGCAGCGUGCAGGAAGACGGCUCUAUGAGUUGUAAACUGCUUUUGUGCGAGGGUAAAUCCCGAUACGUGUAUCGGGUUGAAAGUAUCGUACGAAUAAGGAUCGGCUAACUCCGUGCCAGCAGCCGCGGUAAUACGGAGGAUUCAAGCGUUAUCCGGAUUUAUUGGGUUUAAAGGGUGCGUAGGCGGUAUGUUAAGUUAGAGGUGAAAUCCCGGGGCUCAACUCCGGCACUGCCUCUGAUACUGGCGGGCUAGAGUUUAGUUGCGGUAGGCGGAAUGUAUGGUGUAGCGGUGAAAUGCAUAGAGAUCAUACAGAACACCGAUUGCGAAGGCAGCUUACGAAACUACGACUGACGUUGAGGCACGAAAGCGUGGGUAGCAAACAGGAUUAGAUACCCGUGUAGUC
rnacentral:rRNA from 1 species